AUUCCAGCUCCAUUAGCGUAUGAUAAAGUUGUUGCGGCUAAAAAGCUCGUAGUUGGAUUUCUAGAUGAGAGGAGUGGUCCACUCUAUGAGUGUGUAUCUACUUCCGCUCGUCUAUCCGCUCUGCAAACGUGUCUGCGCUUGACUGCGUGGCGCGGAGGUAGGGCCUUUUACUUUGAGGAAAUUAGAGUGUUCACGGCAGGCAAUCGCCUUGAAUAUAUUAGCAUGGAAUAAUAACAUAGGAUCUUGGUUCUAUUUUGUUGGCUUCUAGGGCUAAGAUAAUGAUUAAUAGGGACAAUUGGGGGCAUUCGUAUCGCGGUGUCAGAGGUGGAAUUCUUGGAUUACUGCGCGACGAACUACUGCGAAAGCAUUUGCCAAGGAUGUUUUCAUCA
rnacentral:rRNA from 1 species